rnacentral:rRNA from 1 species
CAGCGUCACGAGUGGCAACCGUAUUUAUUGGGCCUAAAGCGUCCGUAGCCGGUUUGAUAAGUCUUUUGUGAAAUCGUUGAGCUUAACUUAACGCUGUGCAAGAGAUACUGUCAGACUUGGAAUUGGGAAGAGUUAGAGGUAUUCUGGGGGGAGCGGUAAAAUGCUAUAAUCCCUGGAGGACCACCAGUGGCGAAAGCGUCUAACUAGAACAACUUCGACGGUGAGGGACGAAAGCCAGGGGAGCAAAACGGAUUAGAUACCCGAGUAGUCC